rnacentral:rRNA from 1 species
CCUACGGGGGGCUGCAGUGAGGAAUAUUGGUCAAUGGACGAGAGUCUGAACCAGCCAAGUAGCGUGAAGGAUGACUGCCCUAUGGGUUGUAAACUUCUUUUAUAAAGGAAUAAAACGAGGCACGUGUGCCUUUUUGCAUGUACUUUAUGAAUAAGGAUCGGCUAACUCCGUGCCAGCAGCCGCGGUAAUACGGAGGAUCCGAGCGUUAUCCGGAUUUAUUGGGUUUAAAGGGAGCGUAGAUGGGUUGUUAAGUCAGUUGUGAAAGUUUGCGGCUCAACCGUAAAAUUGCAAUUGAUACUGGGAGUCUUGAGUGCAGUUGAGGUAGGCGGAAUUCGUGGUGUAGCGGUGAAAUGCUUAGAUAUCACGAAGAACCCCGAUUGCGAAGGCAGCUUACUAAACUGUGACUGACAUUGAUGCUCGAAAGUGUGGGUAUCAAACAGGAUUAGAUACCCUAGUAGUC